rnacentral:lncRNA from 1 species
UUGUUCAUUGCUUUCACCCAUUUCGAAUCUUUCAAUGUCUCAGUUGCAUUGACUAGUUUGACAUCUGUGUAGAAAGUAUAGUGUAUUAGCUCACCUUAUUCAUUGAUCACAUCAUCUGAUGUAAUCACAUAUUCUUGCAACCUUGCAGGCAUGUGUCUUGUUCUUUGAGGUCUGCUUGGGCCUACUUCACCUCUGACUUCUUGUCAAACUUCUCAUUCAACUUCACUAGUUGGUUCAUCACAUAAGAUUCUCACUAAAUCCUUCUUAACAUUCUCAGUUCAUU